CCCUUAGAUGUUCUGGGCCGCACGCGCGCUACACUGAUGCAUUCAACGAGUCUAAAACCUGCUCUGAUAGGGGUGGGUAAUCUUUUGAAUGUGCAUCGUGAUUGGGAUAGAUGAUUGCAAUUUUUCAUCUUCAACGACGAAUGCCUAGUAAACGCAAGUCAUCAGCUUGCAUUGAUUACGUCCCUGCCCUUUGUACACACCGCCCGUCGCUCCUACCGAUUGAAUGAUCCGAUGAAUAUCAUGGAUUGAGGAUGCAAGCAGGUUCGCCUGUCUUCAUCUUCGAGAAGUGAAGUAAAUCUUAUCAUUUAGAGGAAGGAGAAGUCGUAACA
rnacentral:rRNA from 1 species